rnacentral:rRNA from 1 species
UACGUAGGGGGCUAGCGUUGUCCGGAAUCAUUGGGCGUAAAGCGCGCGUAGGCGGCCCGGUAAGUCCGCUGUAAAAGUCAAAGGCUCAACCUUUGAAUGUCAGUGGAUACUGCCGGGCUAGAGUCCGGAAGAGGCGGGUGGAACUCCUGGUGUAGCGGUGGAAUGCGCAGAUAUCAGGAAGAACACCGACGGCGAAGGCAGCUCGCUGGGACGGUACUGACGCUGAGGCGCGAAAGCGUGGGGAGCGAACAGG